UUUAGCUUUGCCCCAACAUACAUUUAUAAAUUAUGCAGUUUGACUGCAACUGUGUGUUAAACAAACAUCUCUGUACUGGACAUGAAGUUUCAUAUACACUUCUCUCGUCUUGGUAGAGAAGUGUGAUUUAACCCUAACAACAUGGCUUUGUGUGAGAAGAACGAAAGCAUGCUGUGGUAACAGAGUGACCUUCACUGAAGUCAAUGACCAUUAAGAAUUGAAAAAGCUUCCGGGACUGGGUAUGCAACUAUUAUGACAGAGUGCUGACUGCCUCCAUUUGCCAAGGCCUGAAUGCUUUGCUGGAUGACGACUUUAACAUAACUGAAAAGUGACCUCGAAGGAUUUGCUGACGGGAUUUCAUCAUCAAAAAGCCUAUCAGCAGGCUUGCAGGUUCGCCAUCACCUCAGGGACCUUUCAGGACUUUUUCCCCACACAUUGCUUCAUCACUUCGGAACCAGACAACACCAAAUUCUUAAUCCACACAGUCUGCAGAGAUUCAGAGACCAUCCUGUCUGAUGCAGCAGUCCCAGUCCCUUCCUACUUUCAAAAGGGUAACAAGGAGGAGCAGGAGCAGGAGGGAGCAGGAGAAACAAGAAGGCUGGCCUGUGCUUUCCAGCGUUUUCUAAAAUAUUCCAUUUUUUUUUUCUGAACUGAAUAAAUUUAACAAACUACAC
rnacentral:lncRNA from 1 species